AACGCACGAGACCUGCGGACCUGCGGAGGGAUCAUUAACGCGCUACGGAGGUCUCUUUUGAAGGAGGGAUCUUACGUCUGCCCACCCUUGAUGACUUGACCUGUUGCUUUGGCGGGUUCCGCCGCAAGGCGGUCAGAAGCUCGAGUUUUCAGACUCGAGUCCGCCAGAGUUCCACUAAAUUCUGGAUAAAAAAGUCGUGCUGUCUGAGCGUGCAAGCGCAAAUUUAUACAAAACUUUCAG
rnacentral:misc_RNA from 1 species